GAACUGAGAAAGAGAACCGCCCCGCCUUGCAUUUAUCUGUGCACACGCCGAGCCUCGAAGGGCCCCGCAUCUCCACCAACCGCGGAGCGCGAGGACCAGCCCGCGAUCCGUCUGGGACAAAGACAUAUCCCAUCAACAGUGGCCUCGCCCUCUGUGCCCAGGCUGAGCUCAAAGACGUCCGGAAACCCAAGAGGCAGCCAGGGGGCGCUGCAUCGUUCUAGUUGCCUAGGUGUUUCCAGAUUCUGGUUCAGCCCUGGCAGGCAGCCCUCUGUCUCCCUGGGCUCCCUCUCCAUACAGUACAUACUGUAUGGACAAUGGCAUCUAAUAUGUACUAGCAGAUUACAAUGGGUUUUGGUAUCUAUUUUGGCACUUAUGGCUUAUCCUGCCUCCUGAGUCCUUAGAAAACUUCAUAGACUCCUUUUUCUUAUUCAUUUUUGAAAAUUACUCAUUGGUGUAAUUCUCCUUGGAGGAGCCGGUCCCCCUACUUGGAAUCAUAUUUUCCCCCUGAAGCACGUCUCUUUUCGUUAAAUAUCACAUAGUGAAAUCUAUAUUUAAAGGGGAUAGAGAGAUGGCUCAGCAGUUAAGAGCACUAGCAGCUCUCCCAGAGUUCCUGGCUUAGAUUCCCAACACCCACAUGUCUGCUCACAGUUGUCUUUAACUUCAGGUCAGUGGAUGCAAAGCCCUCUUCUGUCUUCCACAGCCAUACAAGAGAUGCACAGAUAACCGUGCAGCCAAAACAGCUACAUGUGUAAAAGAAAAUGAAAGAGAUUUUAGUCUCCAUAAAACCCCCUUUAAAAUGGGGCUUGUGGUACAGGUACAGAGUAGCCCUCACCAUUAGGAGGCAGAUGCCACAGGGUCUCCGUGAGUUCAGGACCUUCCUGCCCUCUAUAUCGAAUCCCUGGUCAGCAGAGCUAAAUAAGGAGAUCCUAGCUCUACCUAAACCACUCCACACAACAAUCCCUUUAACAAAUUCCAACUUUGGGGGCUGGAGGAAUAGCUCAGUGUUUAAGAGCACUGACUGCUCUUACUGCGGUUCUGAGUUCAUGUCUCAGCAACCACAUGGUGGCUCACAACCAUGUGUAAUGGCAUCUGAUGCCCUGUACUGGUGUGUCUGGAGAGCAAUGGUGUACUCAUAUACAUAAAAUAAAUAAAUAAUUCAUAAAACAAUGAA